GGUCAUAGCUCAGUGCUAGAGCAUCUGCUUUGUCGUACAGAAGGUCCCAGGGUAUGAUCCCUGGCAUCUCCA